GAGGAACUACUACAAAUUAAUACCAAAAGACGCCCAACUAUACGUACUAAUAUGCACACAUACUCUCAUUUCCCUCACCAAUGAAACCAGAAACAAUACCUUACAUAUUACAACACAUUCACACGCAAGAAACAAAAAUAAUAUCCUUACAUUUUAAUCUUUUUUUCACUCACCAAAGGCCACCUUACACAUUGGAGGGAAAAGAUUGAAUUCGAGGUUUGCUUUCAUGGUUUGGAGUUCGCGGUUCCUUAUUAGGACUAUUUUCUUUUCGGUGAAUUGAUUUUCGCAAGAGGUACAAUUUAAUUUUUAUUGUAAUUUGAUUUUCAAGAUUAUAUAAUACUUGAUUACAAUGUUAUGAAAUUGCUCAAAUUUUAUAUGUGUUGAACUUUGACGCUAUGAUAUUGAAAUAUUUCCUCUUUAUUUUAUUCUAUGUUAUCUUCCAUUUUGUACCAUAUGCUUUUUUUUUGGUAGGAAAGGAUAUAUAUAUAUAUUAAGCUUAAGUAGCGGAUACAGUCAGGAUAUUAUAAUUCCCUAAUUUAGCCAGGUUAAUACAAGUUGCUAAGGACACUUUUUUAGUACUAAUGUGUCCUGCUACAUCUGCUGCUAGGCUAGAGAUUACCCCAGUAAGGGGACUACAAAACAUUACAAAGUUACUAUUAGUACUAGUAGUUCUUGCUUCAUUAGCCAAGUGAUGUUCCACCUUGUUACCAUCUCUGAAGUUAUGGUUGAUAGGGGGAUUCUGCAGUUUCUUCAGCCAGUAUCUGCAGGAGGAGAGGAGAGAGUCAUACAGUGAGUUUGAAUAAUCAGUUAGAAGAGUAAUUACCUCAGUAGAGUCAGUUUCGAUUGCCAGUGGAACAAAUUGUGGUGAUAGGCUAACUCAAUGCCUCUAAGCAGUGCCAAUAGUUCCAUUGAAGUGCCAUUGAAACCUUGAUGUUGUUGGUAGAAUCCCAUCUUCCAAUUACCAUAUUCAUCACGGAAGACACCUCCUAAACCACCUACCAGUGAUGGAGCAGAAAAGAAGCCAUCGAAAUUAAGCUUAUAGAGGCCGUGGGGAGGGGGUUUCCAGCGAGCAUGAAUAGUGAUCUUAUCUGAAGGGGUAGAAGAGAGGAAUUUGCCGGUAAAAGCAUAUUCUAAGGUGCGAGCAAUAACCGUGGGGAUAGAGAUUGGGCUGUUAGAGUUAUGAAAAAUAUUAUUAUUACGAUUUAGCCAGAUAUGCCAAAUGGCAAAAGGGAAAUAGAUUUCCCAACUGAGAAGCGGAUCGGCAAAGGCAUGGUUGAGGUUUUUCAAAGUCAGCAGCCAGUUGACAAUACUGUGAUCGUUAACAAUUGGGGAAAUGGGGAUAUUCAGCUGGUUCCACAAGUUUUGAGCAAUAGUCAACGAAAAUAUGCUGGGAGGUUUCAGGAUUAGCAUUACAGAUUUCACACAUGUUCGUGGGAAGGAUUUGAAGUUUGCGAAGGUAGUAACCUGAUGGGAUUUGGUCAUGAUAGCACAUCCAAAAGAAGAACUUGAUCUUAGGAAGAGUAUUGAGUUGCCAAAUCCAUUAAAAGUCCUUAAGAUGGUUGGAAGGGUUGGGAGGAUUUAUAAUUUGGUAGACUGAGGCGAUUGAGAAAUUACCGGUACUAGUGAGAGACCAGAUGGGAGUGUCUCGAGAAAGAGUAGGAAAAGUCGGGAUAGGGUGGAUGGCUUGAAGGAUAACUAGGGAAAUUCGAAUGAACAGUUGUCGAGGUUCCACUGGUUAUUAGAUCGAAGAUCAACUACUACUAUCAAUUAAAGUACCUUUUAUAUCCAACUAAAAUUAAAUUAAAUGCAUGAAAAUAGUAUUCUAAUAGUUUAUUUGGUCAAAUUUACAUAAAGUAAAAAAUGUUUACUCCCUCUGUCCCAAUAUUUAUGUGACACAUUUCGCUUUUUGAGAGUCAAACAGUUCAAGUUUGACCGAGAAUUUGCUCGUGAAAUCUUCAAUUUUUUAAAAAUGAAAUUCAUAUAUUUGUAAACUACAUAAAAAGUAUUAUAAGUCACAAUAAUUGAUAAUUCAAAAUAUUGAAAAGAUAUAUGAAAAAUUUACGAUCAAAGAUAAACUUGUUUGAAUCUCGAAAUCUGAAAUGUGUCACAUAAAUUGGGACAGAGGGAGUAUUUUUUUUCAAGGCCCCCAGUGGGAGGCUCGCACGACGGGCUAUUAGCUCAGUGCUAGAGCGCACCCCUGAUAAUUGCGUCGUUGUGCCUGGGCUGUGAGGGCUCUCAGCCACAUGGAUAGUUCAAUGUGCUCAUCGGCGCCUGACCCUGAGAUGUGGAUCAUCCAAGGCACAUUAGCAUGACGUACUCAUCAUGUUCGAACCGGGGUUUGAAACCAAACUCCUCCUUAGGAGGAUAGAUGGGGCGAUUCGGAUGAGAUCCAAUGUAGAUCGACGAUUCUCAACAACAUCUGUAAAAUCUCGAGGCUUACUAGACGGAAUUCGAUCAAAAAUGAAAACUUUGGAUAUUUUUCUAAGAAGGAGAUGAGCUACCUAUAGAUUUUUAUGUAAGUGCACAAAUUAAGAGAAAGCUGGCAUCCAAUCAAGAAAAAAAAGAGUUACACAUUUUUAUUUUUUUUAUUUUUAUUUUUAUUUUUAAUGUUUUUUGAGAUAACUUAUAAGUAUAUUAAAAGUGUAAAUGCAUCCAUAUCAAAUUUGAAUAUGAAAUAACUUUCUAUUAGUUUAAAAUUUUAAACUUUUAUUAUUUAAAUAGUGUUUUGAAUAUAAAUAGUAAAAAAGUAAUUUAAUCACUAAUAAAACGCUUGAGCUAUCUAGUAAUAAGUAAAUAUUAAGAUAUAUAACUCAUUUUAAAAGCCUGUUUCGAUUAAGAAUGUGGUUACACAUCUUUUUCUUGAGACAUUAAAAUAAACUUAAGGAUACAGUGACGCACCUUGUUUAAUAAUAUAAUUAACUGUCAUCAAUUUAAAGUAAAGACUUAUAGAUAAAAUUAUUAGGUGCAACAUAAGAAGACAAUUAUGUCUCUAAAUGUCAAGACCAAGAAUGCGAUUACGCAUUUAGGUUAAGACUGUAACAUCUCACUAUUUGAAAGAACUAGAAAGAGUUAGAAUUGGAAAGAGUCAUUUUAGGAAAGAAGGAAAAAUCUAGAAAAUUGGUUAAGUUAGGUUAAGUUUGAGUUUUUGAUCAACUUCAAACGUGCAUAACUCAUAGCUCAGGAUGAGUUGAGUGUGCUUCCAGAUACCGUAGGAAAGAUCUUGGAAUUAUUUUUCUAACGUCGCCGAGUUUGCACGAUUCCGAGUUUGUAUGUAUGAGAUAUGGCCAUUUGAAGUUGGGUUGUUCAAACACGUCAAGAGUGAAGAAUCUUCGACACCCACGUCCAAUUUUUUGGAGUUGAAACCCUUUGAAUCUUCAAGGUUUUAGAACAAAGUCUCCAAAACCCUCUAAAACUUGAAAAUGAAAAUAUUCUAAGUCUCAAUAAUAAUUGUCUAUGACUUGAUACUAAGCUAACAAUUUAAACAAGUAUUUAUAGUGUUUGAAAAUUUUGCUGCGGAGGAUCACUCGGCGCAGUUAGUCGGAAUCGCCGAUCCGCUGUUUGGUCAAUUUCAUCGCCUUCUUGCUUUAGCCUUCAGCCUCUUCGCGCUUUGAGUCGUUAGGCGAUAUGGUAUUGCUUCGCGGAACUACUUGGCCACACGCCGACUGCUCCAUUUCAUCGCCAACUUGAUCUUUCCCUUCAGGGCUCAGCAUACUGGAACAAAAGGCAAUCUCCAGGCCGAUUGGCGACUCGCCAACUGGUCUCGCCGAUCUUCAGGCCUCCAUUUCUUCGUUCUUUUCAGCCGCUUUGUUCCUUCUUGCUAAGUACUGUCCAUGAUUUGCCUCAAACUCCAAAUACCUGAAACUUAAGGGUUUUCAUCAGAUAUUGAGACAAAAUAUGCAUUUGAGGACACUAAUUCUAUCAAAAUAUAGCCUUAAAUGAGUCCAAUUUGUGGACUCAUCAAGAACCCAUUAGCGUGCAUCAGUAAAAAAAAAAAAAGUUAUACAAAAAGUACCGAGAGGAAAAAAAAUCAAAAGGGCACAUAAUAUAUGUGGGUGAUCCUUCCUCCAUGAUUUGCCCUCCAUAGCAAGAUGACCACGUACGAUACAAUCAGAUAUGUUUGCGAUUUACCCCAUUUUUGCUCUUUUUUAAAAUUUUUGAAUGAUGAAUUUUCAAAGAGGAAGCAAAAAGUGAAAGAUUUAUUCCUAAAAAACUCCAAUUAUAGUAUGUAAUCUGAGUUGGAUUUAGUAUUGCAAUAUUUAUUCUCCAUCAAUUUAUGUCAAACUUAUUUGAUUUAUUUUUGUUACACGAUUUUAUAAAACAUUAAAUUGACUAUUAAUUCACUGUCAAUAUAUAUCAAAUUAAUUCAAUUUAUUAUUUACUUGUUUUAAAUGAGUAAAUAUAUAAAUUAAUUAAGGAAUAAUUUUAUAAAUAUUCCUCCAACUUUAGCUUUAUUAUAUAACUAAUUUUGAUACACGUGCCUUGCACGUGAAUGUAAAACCAUGUAGCACACUAUUUUAAAAUAAUAAUGUCAAUAUUAUUUAACUAAAACUUUAAACAAAAAAUUACAUAUGGAAUAAUAAAGUAUAACUUUAUAUGAAUAACGAAUGUAAACUUUCUUAUGAUUAGUCACUGUGUACAUACUUAAAGUUCUUAAAUCAAUAUUCAAUAACAUUUAUAUUUCUGAGGAUACUCUAAGCUAAAAACUAGAGUCCUAUUAAUUAAAAUGUACUUCUAACUACAAAUCAGAGCCCUAUAAAUCAAUAGAUACAUUUACAUAUUCAGGUUAACCCCUUUUAAUUUCUUUUUAUAAGGUAAUGUAUGUUAUAUUGAUUGCCAAGCUGAAACUUUUUACAAAAUAGAAUGAAGUUUCAUACUUUUUGUCCAGAGAAAAUGUUUUCCACAUAUGGACGAAAUUAAUCUUAACCCAGAAUCUUUAAAGGAAACAUGCAAUCUAUUAGACAUAACUUAGAUCUCGUUAAAUAUUCUUCAUACUCCAGUACCAAAUUCUUUAUAAUUUUAACUACUUCUCUACUUUAAUGAAUUAUUCAGUGACCUAAAUCAAAAUAUAAAACUAAAGGAGUAUGAAAAUCCUAGCAAUAAUAAGAAAAUUCCGCAAGUCACAACCAAUAUAAUUGAAUACUUUCUAUAACUAUUGCGAGAUUAUCAAAAUUGAUAUGUCUAAGUAUUAAUUAGAUUGUACAGUGUUUUCUUCACGGUUUACAUAACAUAGAAUUGAUAAGCAUCCUCAUAAACCUAUUAAAUAGGAGUAAUUAUAGAACAAUACUAGCCCAAAAAUUCCAAUCACACAUGAGUAAUAUUCACCGAACAGUGAACAUAUACAUGUUUUACACUCUUUAAUCAAUGAUGAGAAUCUAUCAUGUCACGAACCAAAGUACACUCUAUGUGACAUGGCGUAAAACAAUGUAAGCACAUGUAUGUAUUAGUAUAUGAAAUGUACAAAGUAUAAGUGGAAUGCAAUAAAACAUGAAUCAUGAUCAUAAGGGGCAUAAUCGAAAACAUGAUAUGCAUGACAAAGCUAAACAAAGAAAAAUCAUUUAAGAAGAAUCGUAAAUCAUGAAUAUGGUCAGUGCAUCUUAAAUUAUAAGGAAUACUUCAUAAAAUAGUUUGAAGGCAACUUAGUUUUUUUGCGGGUUGUUAGCUUUAAUUGACAAUAGAUCAUGCGAGCUAUAACAUGGAAUUCAAUGUAACUCCCACAUAGAGAAGGGAGAGUCUACUUGCCAAGGUAGAACUCUGUAUUAUAUCAUAUGAUACAUUUGGAUCCACUAGCUACGCUAUUUACGACAAACCAAAGGGGGCACGUAGUUUGAAACCAGAGGUUGUUACUAGAGACUAUCCUAUUUGAGCCUCCACCUCAAAGUAUUCUCAGAGGUAAGUCAUAUCCUAUAGGAAUAGUCAUAUUCACAUACAUAUUAUAAUACAUCGAAAAUUACAAUUAAGUUACUAAUCUAAGUUAAAAACAUCAUUGAGUAUCUCAUUAAAUCUUGAAUCAAGUCUAAGUUAGAAAACCUUUUACCAAGCCAUGAUUCCUCAAUAUUUGAGAAAAUCCUUUCCAAUUUCAUUGAUGCUCAUAUUAAAACAAUCUAUAUCAUAAAUCAUUACUUUUCAUAAAUCACCCAUAAGUUCAAGAAAAAAAAUCAUUCAUAGCAUCAUAAAUUUUCUUCAAAUUCAUACAAAUUAGGAUUCCCGGUAAAAAUCAUGAUCAAUGCAUGAGUUCAUAUGGAAUUUAUUGGAAAAUAAGUAAUUGAAUCUAAAUAACCAUAAUAUGAUCAAAGUCAAACAAUUAUAUCCAUACAAAUAGUAUUCAUGAGGAAUUGAAUGGAAACCUAACAAAUUUGACUGAAAUUGAAUUGGAGAAAUAAAGAAUCUUUGGGGACUUAAUGGGUGAAUGGAACCCAUUGAUGAACUCCUCACAUACCUUAUUCUUGAAGCCCUAAGCAAUUUAUGUAGAAAGGAUACUUGAACUUGAAGAACCCUAUAUUCUUCUUCCUUGAACUAGAGAGAGGAUUUUGAAGAAAACCUUGAAGAGGAUUUGGAGAUUUGAUUGGAUUAGAGAGUUGGGGAACUUUCAAAGGGUGAAGGGUAGUUAUAGGACUUAGAAUAAGGGGUAGUUAUGUUGAGGAACUUUCAAGGGGUGAAGGGUAGUUAUAGGACUUAUAAUUUGAGGUAAAACGACGUAGCAUAGACAUUAAAUGCAUAGGAAAAGACCCAAAUUCUCUUUCAGAAUAACUGCCAGGCAUCCCAACGGUUGUGACAUAUAGUCUGUAUUGGAAUUUCUACGACCCAUCCGCGUGAACCGUAGAACUAAAUUAAGAAACUCAAAUAUUUAAUCAUUUCCCAUGUGACCAUUCUAUGGUCCGUCAAACUUUCUACGGUUCGUAGACCUCAUCCGUAGAACCCAACUUUCACACCAAAAUUUUACCAAGUCUGGAACACUUUUAUGGAACUUUUCUAUGGUCUGUAGAACCAAAUACGACCCUUCAUUUCCUUUCAUAUGUCUAAGGUCCUAAAUCAAAUCUCUAAAUCAAUCCUAUGAGUCCCAUCUAUGGCACAUCAAAAAUCCAACGACCCGUCCUAUCAAGUCGUACGUCAAACCUAAAAAACUUAAUUUUCCAAAACCCCACCUCCAGGUAUAUGAAUUCCUUCCUAAGGGCCGAAGACUUCCUAAGGUCCAUAGGUUAUACUCGUAGAACCCGCUUAAGUGAAAUUUCAACAUUUUUCCUUUCCUUUUCGACUUUUCAACUUCCGAGGUGUUACAAUAUCUCUCCCUUGGGAACAUCAUGAUUGAAUGGGACUCGAGCUAGCAUGAUUAAAGUAAAGGAGAAACUAACAACCUAAAUGUCACGAUCCAAAAUAUACUCUAGGUGUAACAUGGUGUAUAGAACCCUGAAAUGCCCCAUACAAGCCACUUAGCAUACAUCAUACAAGAUAAUAGAAAUAAAGAUUUCAACAGUAGCAAUCUUAUAUCAUAAAAGAGUUUGACAAAGAAGAAGUCUAUCAUAGUCUCAACAAGCCAUCUAAACAUCAAAAUGAGUGGUUGAGAAGUAACCCAUACACCGCAUAUAUCAUCCGAAAACUAGAAAGACAUAAAGCAAGUAAAUAUGUCUCAUUCCUAGAAACAUGAGGACUAUGGGGGAUUCUACUUGCCAAUGUAGUAUCUAUACACAUCAUCUUUUGCUAAAGUGGAUUAACUAGCUAGGUCAUUUAAGACAAUCCUACAGGGGUACGUAGUUAGGUACUACAUGUUGCUACUAGAGACUAUCCUAUUUGAGCAUCCACCUAAAAUCCUCUCAAUGCUAAGUCAAAAUCCUAACUGAAUUGAUAGAAGUCAAAUAUCAUUAUAACAUAGGAAGGGAAAUGAUCAAUAACAAUCCACAUCUUUCAAAUCAAAACAUAGAAUAGCUCUUUAAAAAAAUCCAUUCAUAGGUGAGAAAAUCCUUCACCAAUGUGAAUCCAUAUGUGAGAAAUAACUUUCACAAUCAUGAUCAUAUUCGUAUAUGAGAAAAUCUUUCACAAAAAAUUUGAUACUUUAAUCUAAAAGCACCCUAUCAUCAUCAACAUAAUUUUUAUAAGAUAUGCAUCAUCCUUCAAAAUUCAUAGUUCAUAGUUUCAUGAGUUCUUCUCAAGUUCAUAGUUAAAAAUCAUUUAUCACGCAUGGGUUCAUAUGAUUUCAACUCAAUAUCAUGUAAAAACACUAAAUCAUGUUAUGGAAGAUUGAAAAAGAUCUAUGGAAUCAUAAUUUAAUAGAACCCAUGGAGCAAUAAGAAGAACCCUAAUUUGAUCAAUUGAAAUUGGAUUGAGAAAUCGAAAACCUUGGGGACACCAAGGAGGAAUGGACUCCAUGGGUGAAUACCCCAUACCUUGCUACUCAAAGCCCAAUAUAAAUGGUGAAUUGAAGACCUUUGAGUUAACCCUAGAUUCUUCUUUUUCCUUAGGCUGAGAGGGAAUUUUUAAGAAUUAAUUUGGUUGGGUUUUUGGGAAAUUAGGAGAAUGGGUUUAUAGUGGGUGGAUUAGGACUUCAAGUCUUUUUCAUAGAGAUUAGGAUAGAGAUCAAGACAACAUACAUAGGCUUAAAAAAUUUAGGAAAAGAACCAAAAAACCCUUAAAAAUAACUACCCAACCCUUCUACCAUUUGAGCCACUUUCUACGGAUCGUCCUCGUCAGUCGUAAAAAGAUCAGAAGCCUUAAUUUUUGCCAAGUUUUGACAAAAACCAUUUUCGUAAGACAUUCUAUGGUCCGUAGACCCCAACCAUAGAAAUCAAUUUUGACCUUGAAAAUUUCACCAAGUAUGAGAGCUUCCUACGAGAUUUUUCACUUGUAUAAAAGUUCAGAAAUGAGAUUUUUCAAAAAUUAUUUUCUCCCUUUCUAUGAGACUGGUCUACGACCCGUAGAAAGUUGUAUGAACCGUAGACUUGUCUCGUAGACAUGAACUAGUAGAUAAUAUUCAUGCAACCUUUUCCCUUUUCAAAAUUUUAGGUGUUACAAUAUCUCCCCAUUGGGAACGUUCGUCCUUGAAUGGAACUCAAGGCAAUAUAAAGAGCAUUAGGGAAGAGAUUUAACAACCCCACAUGAAUGCAAUCACACAAAUAUACAUAAUCAAAGAGAAAAUCGACUCCAAGCUAACAUAUAUCUUAAAUAUCUUUCCAUAAAACAUGCAUGCAUGCAUAAGGAAACAUGAGAAUGACUAGGACACGUGAAUCUGCAAGAACGAACCAUAAGGGGCUAAAUACCUCAAGCUAGAGUAGGAUUAGAGGGAAAGAGAUGCAGCUAUCGGGACAUCAUAUCAGCCUGAGCCUCCCAAGUGGCACCUUAAACCAUUUGAUUGCUCCACAAAACCUUUAUGGAUGCAACUUCCUUGUUCCUCAACUGUCUAACUUGUCGGUCCAAGAUCUAAAUCGGAACAUCUUCAAAAGAAAAGCUUUCUUUUAUACCAAGGUUCUCUAAUGGUACGAUAGAUGUCAGAUCUCUAAUACACUUCUUCAUUAAGAAAACAUGGAACACCGGAUGCACCGAUAAUAAUUUGGAGGGCAAGUCUAAUUCAUAAGCCACCUUGCCUAUCUGCCUUAACAUUUGAUAAAGACGAACAUAUUAGGGACUAAGCAUCCCUUUGUUAUCAAGCCUCAUUACACCCUUCAUAGGUGAAAUUUUCAAGUAACCCCAAUCAUUAGUUUCAAAUUCAAGAUCUCUUUUUCCAACGUCGGCAUAGGAAUUUUGUCGACUUCAAGACGUUUUCAACUUUUCUUUAAUAAGCCAAACAUUCUAUGUAGCCUCAUGUACCGACUCGGGACCUGUCACAGAAACUUGAUCAACUACAAACCAAUCUAUGGGGGAACUUUAUCUCCUACCAUAAAUACCUUCAAAUGGAGCAAAACCAAUACUUGAUGAUAACUAUUAUUAUAAGCAAACUCAGUUAAAGGAAAAUAAUCAUCCCAAUUACGCUUGUAAUCAAUCACACAAUAUUUCAAUAUAUGUUCAAAUGAUUAGACAGUGCACUUCGCCUUUCCAUCGGUUUGAGGAUGAAAUCCCGUACUAAACUUGACAUAGACACCAAAACUUUUUUGGAAAGACUUCCAAAAUUGAGAAGUGAAUUGGGAACCAUGAUCAGAGAUAAUCGAUAGAGGUACCCCAUGCAACCUAACCAUUUCACUUAGAUACAACUUAGAUAAUCUUCCACCGAAUAUGAAAAUGAGGCGACUUGGUCAUACAAUCUACAGUAACCCUAAUCAAGUUAUGUUGCUACUCGGUGCCAGGUAAACCAACAAUAAAGUCCAUAUUAAAAUCGUACACUUACAAGUAGGAAUACUAAUAUCUUCGGAAAAACCUCCCAACUUUUGAUGCUAAAUUUUCAUUUGUUGACAAUUAGGAUACUUAGCCUCAAAUUCUGCAAUAUCCUUCUUCACCCCUUUCCACCAAUAGACCUCCCGCAUGUCACGGUACAUCUUGAUGGCUCCCGGGUGAAUGGAAUAUUGACAACUAUGGGCUUCCGAUAAAAUUUGCUCCCUUAAGUCAUCAACAUUCGGAACACACUAACGACCGUGAUAUUGAAACAUACCAUCUUCCCAUUGGGAGAAAUCCUCAAAGCACAUUUUAAGCAUUGCUUUUUUCAAUUCAACCAAAUUUGGGUCUAGACUUUGCUUAACUUUUACAUACGAUACAAAAGGCGAUUACGAACAAUUAUGAACAACUACUCACCAUCAUUAGAAUCAACCAAGCAAACACCCAAUUAGGACAAUCUAUACACAUCACAAACCAACUCCUUAUUAUGUUCCUCCAUAUGUGCAACACUACCAUUGAUAGUUGGCUAAGAGCAUCUGCCACUACAUGUGCCUUACCUGGGUGAUAGAGGACACUUAUGUCAUAAUCUUUUAGCAACUCAAGCCACCUCCUUUCGAAAAGAUUUGGAUCCUUUUUCUUAAAUAGAUAUUGCAAACUUUUGUGGUCGGUAAAUACAUCAACAUGGACAACAUACAAAUAAUGCCUCGAUAUAUUUAACGCAAAAAACAACCACCACUAAUUCAAAAUCAUGGGUAGGAUAGUUCUUUUCGUGAAUCUUAAGUUGCCUUGAAGCAUAAACAAUAACUUUCCCAUAUUGCAUAAGGACACACCCUAAUACAAUCCUUGAAGCAUCCUAAUAAACAAUGGACCCAUCAGUGCCUUUCGGUAAAGUAAACACAAGAGCGAAGGUAAGACUAUAUUUAACCUCUUGAAAAAUCUCUUCACAUGCUUCUGACAUAAAAACUUACCCUUCUUUAGGGUUAAUGCGGUCAAUGGAGAGGAAAUUGAAGAAAAUUCUUCCAUAAACCUUCUAUAAUAACCUGCCAAACCCAAUAAACUUCAAAUGUAUGAAGGAGAUAGAGAUAUAGGCCAAUUCAUUAUCGCCUCUGUCUAUUUAGGAUAAACCUCAAUUCCCUUAUUAUAAACAAUUUGACCAAGAAAAACCUCACAUCUCAACCGAAACUCACAUUCAUUAAGCUUAGAACAUAACUCAUGAUCCUUAAGAAUUUACAACACAAUCCUCAAAUUAUCAGCCUGCUCAUCCUCACUCCGAGAGUAAAUCAAGAUAUCAUCGAUAAACACUAUCAAAAACAUAUCAAGACAUUGUCUAAAUACUCUAUUCAUCAAAUCCAUGAAUGCGGCCAGAGCAUUAGCCAAACUGAAUGACAUUACUAAAUAAUCAUAAUCAUAAUACCGCAUUCGAAAAGCCAUCUUUAGAAUCUCACUCUCUUUCACCCUCAAUUGGUGAUAACCUGACCGGAAGUGACACUUAGAGAGAUAACUUGCUUCUUGGAGUUGAUCAAACAAAUCAUCAAUCCUCGAAAGAUGAUAAUUAUUCUUGAGGUUAACCUUGUUCAAUUACUGGUAAUCAAUACCCAUUCGAAGGGAACUAUCCUUCUUACAAACAAAUAAUACUAGAUCAACCCGUGGAGAGAUACACAGUCGUAUAAAACCCUUAACCAACAAAUCUCUCAAUUGCUCAUUUAAUUCCUUAAGUCCUGCUAGAGCCAUAUUGUAAGGAGGAAUAGAGAUAGGUUGCAUAUUUGGAAGAAGGUCAAUAUCAAAGUUAAUUUCCCUUUCGGGAGGAACCCUGGGUAGAUCAUCGAGAAACACUUCUGAAAACUCAUUUACAACAGGGACUGACUCAAGAAUAGGGGUUUCUGAAUCUAUAUUCUUAACUCGAACAAGAUACAAUAAGAUAUCAUUUUCCUAGCUUUAAGUCAAGAAACAAAUUGACACUUAGGCAUAUAAUUUCCUCCUUUUUACUUUAGGAUGGGCUCAUUAGGAAUCUUAAAAUUGACCACUCGGUUCUACAAUUAACAGAAGCAUAUAAACAAUGGAGCCAAUUCAUACCACAAAUAACAUCGAAAUCCAACAUAUCAAUUUCUACAAGAUCAACAUGAGUGACUCUAUGGGAUAAAGAGAUGGGGCAAUUUUUAUAGACUCUGUUAAGCACAAUAGAUUCACCAAUAACAUUGGAGAACAAAAAAAUAUCUAGCAACAUAUCCAUAGAUACAUCAAAUCUGAUAGUCACAUAUGGCGCCACAAAAGACAAAGUAGCAUCGGGAUCAAGUAAAGAAUAAACAUCAUGAUUAAAGACUUUCAACAUAUUGGUAACAACAUUAGGAGAACCCUCUUGAUCAUGCUGAGUUUGAAGUGCAUAGAAUUGGUUUUACUUUGGAACACUUGAACCCGAACCACUAGGCGGAGAUUACCUACCAUCUUUUCCCUUGUCAAUUGUAGAUAGGCAAUCUCUCAAGCGGUGACUAAUUUUACCAAAACCAAAAGAAAUAGUCUUAGGGUUAGACAUCUUAUAUUUUUUGAACUUAGGAGUUGGAGAAUUUGAGGAACAUUGAACAGAAAACCAUUGCCAGAACCUAGAACGACCAUGUCCAUCGGACCUUGAAUGUAAAAAGUCACCAUCACCGGUCUUUGACCUCUUUGCCUCCCUAGAACUUUCCUUAAGCUUCUCUUCUUCGAAUUUUUUGAGAAUAUGUCAUCAAACAGGAAAUAUCCAUUUCCUUAAUGAACAUAACGAUACGACAUUUUUUAACCACCAUUUCCGACACACCCAAAACAAACUUACUCAUCCUUGCCCUAGAGUUGACAACUAUAGUUGUAGCAUACCUAGCCAAUUUAGUGAACUUCAACACAUACUCCUUCACACUCAUAUUUCCUUGAAGAAGGUUGAUGAAUUCAAGUACCUUUGCCUCCCUCAUCUCAAGGGAAAAGUACCUAUCAAGGAACGCAUCCUUAAACUUUUCCCAAUCAAGAGGAUGCAUGAACCGCUUUCUAUUCCUUCCAAUGGUUGAACCAAACUUGAGCAACAACCUUAAGUUCAUUAGAGGCAAAUUCCACUUCUCAACUAUAGUCACUCCAAUAAUUCCCACUAUCUUGUAAACCUCAUCAAUGAACUCUUGGGUAUCCUCAUGAACCUUGGAACAAUGGAAUUCUAGAGGAUUAAUCCUAGUAAAGUCCCCUAUCCUUACCUCCCCCCGUACCCACAUUUGGGUUCACGGGAACAUAAUCUCUCCAUUGGCUUGAGCCGCCAUAGCUUGAGCCAACACAUGGAAAGUGGCUCAGAACUCUGCAUUAGUCACUUCCUCAGCCAAAGGAUUGACCGGAACUUGAGGAGCUUCUUGUUCGACAUUAUCACCCGCACUCCUUCUAACAUAUGCUGUUUGAGAGGUAAUAUCUUAAAAAGCAUCGCAUGAGGAUUAGGAGAGAGACAUUUAGAGUUACACUCUAUCGCACGACUUUAGAAUGAUCAAAGAAGUGGAAUUUCCUUAACAUCUUAUAGCCUCCUAUUCAUAAGUAUGGUGCGCUUCACACUCAUGAACAAGACUCUACUUGACGUGGCUUGCGAAACAUCCUAAGACCUCUCUAAACAUUCUACUUUGAAUACCAAGUUUGUCAAAACCCAAAGCAUAUCCUAGGUGUAACAUAGCAUAUAAACCUCAAAAGUAGCAAUCUUAUAUCAUAAAAGAGUUUGAGAAAGCGGAAGUCUAACAUAGUCUCAAUAAGACAUCUAAACUUUCAAAGGAGUGGGUGGGACGUAACCUAUAUAACACAUACAUCAUCCGAAAACUUGAAAGACAUAAAUCAACUAAAUGCGUCUCAGUCCUUGGAAUAUCAGGAAUCACAAAUCUUGAAUCCAUUGGAAUAAUUAACUAUCCACAAGCGUGAGAGGUAGGAGCGCCAGACCCUAUAUCAGUGAAACUAUGUAGGUACAAGUAUACAUUAGUACAUAAAAUGUACUUAGUAUGGUGCAAUAUACAUGAAUAUACUGACAUAGAUAGCUUAAACAUGUAAUGCAUGACACGCAUUUGAACAUUUGAAAGCUUUAAAGAAGCAACAACUCAUAUCUCAUAAAAUAUGGUCAACACAUUUAAUUAAGAGAAUAAAAUUUUGAGGAAACAUACUCGUUUUAUAGUGUUUAAGCUUUAACCGACACUACGACCAUGAGAGCUAUGUCAUGGAAUCUAGCAUAUCCCUCAUACCGAAAGAAGGGGAUUCUACUUACCAGGGUAGCAUCGGUACACGUCAUCUUUUGCUAAAGUGGAUCCACUAGCUAGGUCAUUUAAUACAAUCCUAUGGGGGGCACGUAGUUAGAGACUAGAGGUUUCCACUAGAGACUACCCUAUUUGAGUAUCAACCUCAAAUCCUCUCGGUGCUAAGUCUAAAUUCCAAUAGAAUAGCUAAAAGUAAAAUAUCAUUAUAACAUAGAAAGGGUAAUGAUCAAUACCAAUCCACAUCUGUAAAAUCAAAACAUAGAAUAGCUCCUUAAAAUUCAAGUCAAGCAUAAGUGAGAAAACCUUUCACCAAUGUAAAUCCAUAUGUGAAAAAUACCCUUCACAAUAAUGAUCAUAUUUGUAUGUGAGAAAAAUUUCACAACAAUAUCGAUACUUUCUUAUAAAAGGACCCUAUCAUCAUUAACAUCAUUUUCACAAGACAUGCAUCAUUCUUCAAAUUCAUUGUUCAUAGCUUAAUGAGUUUUUCACAAUUCAUAAUUAAAAAUCAUGGAUCAUGCAUGGGUUCAUAUGAUUUCAACUACAGAUCAUGUAAUUACAUUAAAUCAUGAAAUAGAAGAUUAAAAACAACCAUUGAAUCAUAACUGAAUAGAACCCAUGGAGAAUUAAGAAGAACCCUAAUUUGAUUAAUUGAAAUUGAAUUGAGAAAUUAAACACCUUGGGAACCCGAUGGAGGAAUAGACUCUAUGGGUGAAUACCCACAUACCAUGCAGCUCAAAGACCAACAUGAAUGGUGAAUUUAAGACCUUGGAUUAAACCCUAUCUUCUUCUUCUUCCUUAGAUUGUGAGGGAGUUUUGGGAGAACGAAUUUGAUUGGGUUUUGGGAAAAAUAGGAGAAUGGGUUCAAAGUGGGUAGAUUUAGGACUUAAAUUCUUUAUAUUGGGCUUAGGAUAUAGACAAAAAUAGCAUAGCAUAGGCUUAAAACAUUUGAACCUACGACCUGUAGAACUUUCUACGGACCAUAUUGGUCAACCGUAGAAAAGUUAAGAGGCCUUAAUUUGGCCAACCUUUUGCAAAAUCUAUCUACGAACCGUAGGAAUUUCUACAAUCCAUGGACCCCUACAAGACAAAUUAACUUUGACGUUUAAAAUUUCACUAAGUCUAGGAGAUUUCUACAAGAACAAUCUACGACUCAUAAACCAUUUGACAGGCCCUCAUGUUUACUCAUAGAAAAAUUCAGAAACUAGAUUUUUCAAAAAUUAUUUUUUCCCUCACUACUAGACUGGUCUAAGACCCAUAGAAAGUUCUGCGAACCGUAGACUAGUCUCGUAGUCCUAAACUAGGAGACUAAAUUCAUGCAAACUUUAUUUCUUUUCGAAAUCCAAGGUGUUACACCAAUAUGAUUGCAAUUUUCAUUAAAAUGCACAUAAAACAUGGAGAAUCUCUCCAAGCUAAAUCAUUACAUAAAAUUAAGUUUUCAUGAACAACAUGUAUGUGAAACAUGAGAAUGACUAAAAUAAAUGAAUUUGAAAGGAUGAACAAUGAAGAGCUAAUACCCCAAGCUAGAAUAAGAGCGGAAGGAUAAAAAUGAGGAAACUGGACAUCAUAUCGGCUUUGGCCUCCCAAGAAGCACCCUCAACUAAUUGAUUCCUCUAAAGAACCUUAACGGAAGCAUCUUCUGAACAUGCCGCUCUAAAAUCUCAACCAAACCUCUUCAUAAGAAGAUUUCCCUUAACUCCCAAACCUUCCAAAGGAGCAAUAGAUGUCAAAUCUCCAAUACACUUUUUCAACAAAGAGACAUGGAAUGCCGAAUGUACUGAUGCUAAAUCAUUAGGCAACUCACAUUUAUAAGAAACCUUUCCAAUAUGCCUUAAGAUCAGAUAUGGCCCACAAACCUGGGACUAAACUUCCCUUUCUUUUCCAACCUCAUAACACCCUUCAUGGGUUAAUUUUUAAAGUAUACCCAAUCAUCAACAUUAAAUUCAAGUUUUCUUCUUCUAAUAUCGAAAUAAGACUUUUAUCGAUUUUGAGUUAUUUUCAACCUCUCACGAAUAAGUCAAACCUUUUUCAUAGCCUAUGCACAAACAUGAACCCUAUCAAAGAAACCUUACUGACCUCAAACAAAAUGAUAGGAGACCUACACCUCCUACGUUAAAGAGCAUGGAACGGUGCAAUCCCAAUGAUAGAAUGCUAAUUAUUACUAUAAGCAAACACGAUCAAAGGCAAGCGAUCAUCUCAAUUACCUUUGAAAUCAAUCACGCAAGCUCUCAACAUACUUUUCAAAGUAUGAAUUGUACGUUCGACUUGUCCAUGAGGAUGAAAAUCCGUGCUAAGUUUAAACUUGAGUACCAACAUCAUUCUGAAACGACUUCAAAAACUAAGAUGUAAACUGAGUACCUCAACUGAUAAUAAUGGACAAAGGCUGUAACACCCCGUAACUUAGUAGGCCAUCUAGGGCUAAGUCUGAAGGAUUCAAGUCAAGACUAGAGGGCAUGAGCCAAGGCAAAGGGGCAAGGGACAAGGCAAGAGCCAAGGCUUCCCCAUGCUUGCCAUGGCACUGCCCAUGACCACAAGAGCCUUCACGGCUCGUGGUGGCCACCCGUGGUGGUUAGGCAACGAGCCCCUCAAGGUUUCCCAAGUUGGCCUCCUCCACACAAGCGACUUCAUGGCUCGUGAAGGCCUAGACGGCUCGUGGAGGUGGCCGUGAACAUGCCUUCAACUUGUAGAGGCCAAGACCUCAUGCAUGGCCACUGGUCCAUGCCUACGAUGAGGACCAUGACCAGUGGUGAGGACCACGGCUUGUGGUCCCUCUCGUGAGGCUUGGCACCAGGCUGCCGAAUAAGGGUCAUUUUAGGAAAUUCCCUUUCUAGUUAGUAUUAAGUAGGGCCGUUUUAUAUAGAAUUUAUACACCUAUAUAAGCUAUUUUAAUCCUUUAACCACCCCAAUUAAGUCAUUAAUUCCAAAACCCCAAAGUUCAUCCUCUCAAAAGUCCUCUCUCUAGAAAACUCCAAGAAGAAGAAAAAGAAAAAAAAUAGGUCAAAGCUAGGUAAAAUUCCUUCAUUGUUGCAAGCUUUUGUAAGGCUUUAUAAUCAUGGUAUGAUAGCAUAUUAAUCCACGGAUUCUUCAAUUCAUGGAGCCCCAUAGAUUUCCCCCAAUUGUGAAGAUGAAUCCCCAAUUCAAGUUAGGGUUCCUUUCAAUAUUGUGGUUUAAGUUGAGUAUGAAUCCAAAUGACUGGAUAUUACUUGUUUAUGAUUGAUUUAGUAGUGAAUCAUGUUAUUAUGAUUAUAUUAUGUGAUUUUCAUCGCUAACCCUAGUUUAAUUGAUCAAGUAAUGUGGGUUUAUGCCUUGUAAAGAGAAAUUGAGGAUUUAUAGAUGAUUUUCUAGAAUUUAUGAUAUGAGUAGUAAUUGUUCAAGAAUAGUCACAUGUAGACAUGAAUUGAAUUAGAAUAAUGCAUAUGUGAUGGAUCAUGAUUAGCAAAGCUUGAGAUUGAACCUUUAUAAUGAUUUAUGACUAGAAUCACUUAAUAAUGAAGCAUGUGAUAAUAAUGCCUUGAAAUCUAGGUAUGAAUGAUGAUGGUAAGAAGUAAAGCUUUGAGAGUAAGGCCUGUAGUUAUGAGUGUUGAUUGUUAGGGCUUUGAGAGUAAAGCUAUUAUGUUGAAUUAAGAAUGUUUAAAUGCAUAAAGUGAUAGAAGCACAUGAAACAUGGAUUGGUUGUCACAGACGUCCCUCCACUAGUCAUGAAUUAAGUAAGACUUGAUAAGCUAUCUUGUGGGAUUUAUGCCUAGCACCGAGUGGAUAUUGUAAUGAGAUGGAAGCUUUUACCUAGUUGAGUUCGGCUUCCAUGAUGGGAACUCUCACAAGUGGAGUCUGAGUUUCCCAAAGUAUGUCUCAUGAGAUGGAGUCCCUCACAAGUGGGGUCCAUAUUUCCUAGUAGAAAUCUCUAUAUCCCAUAACUACGUGUCCCAUAGGAAAUUUAGCUAAUAGGUCAAACUAAGCUAAAAAACUGGUUCUACCCUAGGCAAGUAGACCAACCCUUCUCGGUGUGGGUAACAUCGGAGGGGAUCAUGUGAUAGCUCAUGUGGUCUCAUGUCGGUUAAGGCUAUAUUCCCAACUAGUACAAGAUUAUUAAAGAACUAAGACAUAUUUGAAGAAGUAUCUCAAAGUGUUCAAUAUUAAUAAUGCACUAAGACAUGCUUAAGGAAGCAUCUCAUGUGUUAAAACAUAAUAAACUUAGACAUUCUUGAGUAAGUAUUUCAUAGUGUUCAAAAGUAAAGAAGAGGGACUAGGAUGUGAUUAAAGAAGUAUCUCCUAGGGUUCCAAUGUCUUAAAAAGUGGGACUAGUCUCCAAUCAAGAAGUAUGAGUAUGAUAACCUAAAGUGAUACUUAGUAUGGAUAGGAUUAUGGGGUCUUAUUCAUGCAUUGCACAAGUAUGACUUAAGGUUACCUAAUAAAGUGUUCUCUUAUAUGAUUUAUGUUUAGAGAGAAUUGUGCUAUAUUUGCCUUCAUUGUUAUGAUUGACUAAAGGUGAGAGAUUCCCUUGUCUAUGAGAGAUAAGCUAACGAUGAGAUCAAAGAUGGCUAGUAUGUAUAAUGGACUAAGGUGGUACUUAGUUUGGAUGAGAUUAUGGGGUCUUAUCCAUGCAUUGCACAAGUAUGACUUGAAGCUACUUAUGAAGUUUUCUUCUUAUGAUAUGAAAUACUAAGGGUUGACUAAUGUUUAUAUGAUGCUUAUGUUGGAGAUUAUGCUUAUGAUUAUGUUAUUGUCUCUUAUGCUUAUAGUUUAUGUUUCAUGAAGUAUCACUUGUGAUUAUGGCAUAUGACUUAUGUUGACUAACCCUUAUGAUGUUAUGCUAUCAUGAUAUUAUUCUAGCUAUCAUAUUUAGUACUUUUGUACUAAGACAUACUCUUGUCUACAUUCUCAUCAAAUGUAGGGUCCGGUGAUUUUGAGUUCCAUUCUUAAGGCUAGGUUUCUAGAAGUGCAAGGAGUUGAAGACUUGGUGAGUCCUCAUAGCAUCGAGAAUAUAGCUACCAUUUCCUUUAAUGUCUUUAUUUUAUGAGUUAGACUUUUGUAUGGGCUGCGUCCCAAAGAUAUUCAUGUCCUAGAUGGUUUGAGACAAGUGUAAUUAUACUUCCGCUUUGCUUUUAUAAAGACUUUGAUUUUAUAAAAUUUGUUUUAAAA
rnacentral:lncRNA from 1 species